AAGACGUGCGCAGGCGGUUAUGUAAGACAGAUGUGAAAUCCCCGGGCUCAACCUGGGAACUGCAUUUGUGACUGCAUGGCUAGAGUACGGUAGAGGGGGAUGGAAUUCCGCGUGUAGCAGUGAAAUGCGUAGAUAUGCGGAGGAACACCGAUGGCGAAGGCAAUCCCCUGGACCUGUACUGACGCUCAUGCACGAAAGCGUGGGGAGCAAACAGGAUUAGAUACCCCUGU
rnacentral:rRNA from 1 species